rnacentral:misc_RNA from 1 species
GAUGAAAACGUAGCGAAAUGCGAUAAGUAAUGCGAAUUGCAGAAUUCCAGUGAGUCAUCGAAUCUUUGAACGCACAUUGCGCCCUUUGGUAUUCCGAAGGGCAUGCCUGUUCGAGCGUCAUUAUCACCCCUCAAGCCCUCGGCUUGGUGUUGGACGGUUUGGUGGAGGCCCCCUCGGGGGCUCCUGCCCCUCCCAAAGACAAUGACGGCGGCCUCGUUGGACCCCCGGUACACUGAGUUCUUCACGGGACACGUAUCGGACACAUGGGUUUACGGGACACGGUCUGCCUCCCCUCAGGGAGAAUCUUUCUAAGGUUGACCUCGGAUCAGGUAGGGAUACCCGCUGAACUUAAGCAUAUCAAUAAGCGGAGGA